GGAAUUGUUCGCAAUGGGCGCAAGCCUGACGACGCAGCGCCGCGUGGAGGCUGAAGGUCUUCGGAUUGUAAACCCCUGUUGCCCGGGACGAAUGGCUCCGACCUAACACGUCGGAGUGUGACGGUACCGGGUGAGGACGCACCGGCUAACUCUGUGCCAGCAGCCGCGGUAAUACAGAGGGGGCAAGCGUUGUUCGGAAUUACUGGGCGUAAAGGGCGCGUAGGCGGCCUUCGAAGUCGAACGUGAAAUCCCCGGGCUCAACCCGGGAACUGCGUCCGAUACUGGAAGGCUUGAAUCCGGGAGAGGGAUGCGGAAUUCCAGGUGUAGCGGUGAAAUGCGUAGAUAUCUGGAGGAACACCGGUGGCGAAGGCGGCAUCCUGGACCGGUAUUGACGCUGAUGCGCGAAAGCCAGGGGAGCAAAC
rnacentral:rRNA from 1 species